rnacentral:rRNA from 1 species
UACGUAGGGACCAAGCGUUGUUCGGAUUUACUGGGCGUAAAGCGUGCGCAGGCGGUUUUGUAAGUCUGUCGUGAAAGCCCCGGGCUCAACCUGGGAAUUGCGAUGGAGACUGCAAGGCUUGAAUCUGGCAGAGGGGGGUAGAAUUCCACGUGUAGCAGUGAAAUGCGUAGAGAUGUGGAGGAACACCGAUGGCGAAGGCAGCCCCCUGGGUCAAGAUUGACGCUCAUGCACGAAAGCGUGGGGAGCAAACAGG